rnacentral:rRNA from 1 species
UACGAAGGGGGCUAGCGUUGCUCGGAAUGACUGGGCGUAAAGGGCGCGUAGGCGGCUUGUAUAGUCGGAUGUGAAAUUCCUGGGCUUAACCUGGGGGCUGCAUACGAGACGUAUGGGCUUGAGUGCGGAAGAGGGUCGUGGAAUUCCCGAGUGUAGAGGUGAAAUUCGUAGAUAUGGGAAGAACACCGAGGUCGAAGGCGGCGACUGUCG